rnacentral:rRNA from 1 species
GGGUUGUGAGGUUAAGCGACUAAGCGUACACGGUGGAUGCCCUGGCAGUCAGAGGCGAUGAAGGACGUGCUAACACACUAUCAUUAACUGAAUCCAUAGGUUAAUGAGGCGAACCGGGGGAACUGAAACAUCUAAGUACCCCGAGGAAAAGAAAUCAACCGAGAUUCCCCCAGUAGCGGCGAGCGAACGGGGAGGAGCCCAGAGCCUGAAUCAGUGUGUGUGUUAGUGGAAGCGUCUGGAAAGGCGCGCGAUACAGGGUGACAGCCCCGUACACAAAAAUGCACAUAUUGUGAGCUCGAUGAGUAGGGCGGGACACGUGGUAUCCUGUCUGAAUAUGGGGGGACCAUCCUCCAAGGCUAAAUACUCCUGACUGACCGAUAGUGAACCAGUACCGUGAGGGAAAGGCGAAAAGAACCCCGGCGAGGGGAGUGAAAAAGAACCUGAAACCGUGUACGUACAAGCAGUGGGAGCCUCUUUUAUGGGGUGACUGCGUACCUUUUGUAUAAUGGGUCAGCGACUUAUAUUCUGUAGCAAGGUUAACCGAAUAGGGGAGCCGAAGGGAAACCGAGUCUUAACUGGGCGUUAAGUUGCAGGGUAUAGACCCGAAACCCGGUGAUCUAGCCAUGGGCAGGUUGAAGGUUGGGUAACACUAACUGGAGGACCGAACCGACUAAUGUUGAAAAAUUAGCGGAUGACUUGUGGCUGGGGGUGAAAGGCCAAUCAAACCGGGAGAUAGCUGGUUCUCCCCGAAAGCUAUUUAGGUAGCGCCUCGUGAAYUCAUCUCCGGGGGUAGAGCACUGUUUCGGCAAGGGGGUCAUCCCGACUUACCAACCCGAUGCAAACUGCGAAUACCGGAGAAUGUUAUCACGGGAGACACACGGCGGGUGCUAACGUCCGUCGUGAAGAGGGAAACAACCCAGACCGCCAGCUAAGGUCCCAAAGUCAUGGUUAAGUGGGAAACGAUGUGGGAAGGCCCAGACAGCCAGGAUGUUGGCUUAGAAGCAGCCAUCAUUUAAAGAAAGCGUAAUAGCUCACUGGUCGAGUCGGCCUGCGCGGAAGAUGUAACGGGGCUAAACCAUGCACCGAAGCUGCGGCAGCGACACUAUGUGUUGUUGGGUAGGGGAGCGUUCUGUAAGCCUGUGAAGGUGURCUGUGAGGYAUGCUGGAGGUAUCAGAAGUGCGAAUGCUGACAUAAGUAACGAUAAAGCGGGUGAAAAGCCCGCUCGCCGGAAGACCAAGGGUUCCUGUCCAACGUUAAUCGGGGCAGGGUGAGUCGACCCCUAAGGCGAGGCCGAAAGGCGUAGUCGAUGGGAAACAGGUUAAUAUUCCUGUACUUGGUGUUACUGCGAAGGGGGGACGGAGAAGGCUAUGUUGGCCGGGCGACGGUUGUCCCGGUUUAAGCGUGUAGGCUGGUUUUCCAGGCAAAUCCGGAAAAUCAAGGCUGAGGCGUGAUGACGAGGCACUACGGUGCUGAAGCAACAAAUGCCCUGCUUCCAGGAAAAGCCUCUAAGCAUCAGGUAACAUCAAAUCGUACCCCAAACCGACACAGGUGGUCAGGUAGAGAAUACCAAGGCGCUUGAGAGAACUCGGGUGAAGGAACUAGGCAAAAUGGUGCCGUAACUUCGGGAGAAGGCACGCUGAUAUGUAGGUGAAGUCCCUCGCGGAUGGAGCUGAAAUCAGUCGAAGAUACCAGCUGGCUGCAACUGUUUAUUAAAAACACAGCACUGUGCAAACACGAAAGUGGACGUAUACGGUGUGACGCCUGCCCGGUGCCGGAAGGUUAAUUGAUGGGGUUAGCGCAAGCGAAGCUCUUGAUCGAAGCCCCGGUAAACGGCGGCCGUAACUAUAACGGUCCUAAGGUAGCGAAAUUCCUUGUCGGGUAAGUUCCGACCUGCACGAAUGGCGUAAUGAUGGCCAGGCUGUCUCCACCCGAGACUCAGUGAAAUUGAACUCGCUGUGAAGAUGCAGUGUACCCGCGGCAAGACGGAAAGACCCCGUGAACCUUUACUAUAGCUUGACACUGAACAUUGAGCCUUGAUGUGUAGGAUAGGUGGGAGGCUUWGAAGUGUGGACGCCAGUCUGCAUGGAGCCGACCUUGAAAUACCACCCUUUAAUGUUUGAUGUUCUAACGUUGACCCGUGAUCCGGGUUGCGGACAGUGUCUGGUGGGUAGUUUGACUGGGGCGGUCUCCUCCUAAAGAGUAACGGAGGAGCACGAAGGUUGGCUAAUCCUGGUCGGACAUCAGGAGGUUAGUGCAAUGGCAUAAGCCAGCUUGACUGCGAGCGUGACGGYGCGAGCAGGUGCGAAAGCAGGUCAUAGUGAUCCGGUGGUUCUGAAUGGAAGGGCCAUCGCUCAACGGAUAAAAGGUACUCCGGGGAUAACAGGCUGAUACCGCCCAAGAGUUCAUAUCGACGGCGGUGUUUGGCACCUCGAUGUCGGCUCAUCACAUCCUGGGGCUGAAGUAGGUCCCAAGGGUAUGGCUGUUCGCCAUUUAAAGUGGUACGCGAGCUGGGUUUAGAACGUCGUGAGACAGUUCGGUCCCUAUCUGCCGUGGGCGCUGGAGAACUGAGGGGGGCUGCUCCUAGUACGAGAGGACCGGAGUGGACGCAUCACUGGUGUUCGGGUUGUCAUGCCAAUGGCACUGCCCGGUAGCUAAAUGCGGAAGAGAUAAGUGCUGAAAGCAUCUAAGCACGAAACUUGCCCCGAGAUGAGUUCUCCCUGACYCYUURAGRGUCCUGAAGGAACGUUGAAGACGACGACGUUGAUAGGCCGGGUGUGUAAGCGCAGCGAUGCGUUGAGCUAACCGGUACUAAUGAACCGUGAGGCUUAACCUUACAACGCCGAAGCUGUU